UACGAAGGGGACUAGCGUUGUUCGGAGUUACUGGGCGUAAAGCGCACGUAGGCGGAUUUGUUAGUCAGGGGUGAAAUCCCCAGGCUUAACCUGGGAACUGCAUUCGAGACUGCAUUGCUAGAGUAUGGGAGAGGGAAGUGGAAUUUCCGGUGUAGCGGUGAAAUGCGUAGAUAUCGGAAGGAACAUCAGUGGCGAAAGCGACUUCCUGGACCAAUACUGACGCUCAUGUGCGAAAGCGUGGGGAGCAAACAGG
rnacentral:rRNA from 1 species